AUCCCAUAAUGAGGACACUUACAAAGAAAAUCUUUGAAUCUUUCUCAUGCUUUGUAUAAGGACUCAUCAUCCAAUUGUUGAAAAGUAGUUAUCUCAUUUUGCAACU
rfam:Gossypium hirsutum cultivar TM-1 chromosome 6, whole genome shotgun sequence